GCGGUACCUCCUCGGCGCC
rnacentral:miRNA from 1 species